rnacentral:rRNA from 1 species
UGAUCAGCCAUGCCGCGUGUGUGAAGAAGGCCUUAUGGUUGUAAAGCACUUUAAGCGAGGAGGAGGCUCUUCUAGUUAAUACCUAGGAUGAGUGGACGUUACUCGCAGAAUAAGCACCGGCUAACUCUGUGCCAGCAGCCGCGGUAAUACAGAGGGUGCGAGCGUUAAUCGGAUUUACUGGGCGUAAAGCGUGCGUAGGCGGCUUUUUAAGUCGGAUGUGAAAUCCCCGAGCUUAACUUGGGAAUUGCAUUCGAUACUGGGAAGCUAGAGUAUGGGAGAGGAUGGUAGAAUUCCAGGUGUAGCGGUGAAAUGCGUAGAGAUCUGGAGGAAUACCGAUGGCGAAGGCAGCCAUCUGGCCUAAUACUGACGCUGAGGUACGAAAGCAUGGGGAGCAAACAGGAUUAGAUACCCUGGUAGUCCAUGCCGUAAACGAUGUCUACUAGCCGUUGGGGCCUUUGAGGCUUUAGUGGCGCAGCUAACGCGAUAAGUAGACCGCCUGGGGAGUACGGUCGCAAGAC